CGCGCACGGUCCACCUGGCGCUCGGGGCCGCGAGCGAGCGCAGCCAGGCCGCCCGGGAACUUUUUUCCUCGCGCUCUCGCUCUCCCGCUCCCCGCGUCGCCCGCCGCCCGCCCGCCCGCCCGCUCUUCCUGUGAGGAGGAGAUCGCGUUUCCCCGCGGCACCCGCGGACACCAGGCAGCCCGGGCGGGUGCGCGGCCAGGACCCGCUCCCCGCGCCGCCUGCUCCCCGCGUUCCCGGGCGCCGCCCCCGCCCGCGUCUAGGCUCCGAGAGGCGACUUGGAGAGCAAGGCGGCGAGGGCGACUGGCGAGCCGAGCAGGCCGCCCAGCCCGCGGCUCAAGCGUCGGCGCGAGGAGGGGCACCGCGGCCCACCUCCUUCCUGCCUGGCCGCGGGCCGGUCGGGCCGCCGCGCCUGACCCCCAUGGCCGCCGAGGCCUCCGGGCCGCUACGUCGCAGCGCCAGACGCAGGGUCCCCGAGUGAGCGCGGGCGCCGAGGAUCUCAUCUGGCCGCCGCGUUCUGAAAGAGGCCAGGGAUAGAGCGCGCGCGCGAGGAGAACAGAGACGGCGGGGAAAAGGGAGAAGGCGAGACGCGCAGCGCCGGCGCCCGGGAGACCCAGGAGGACCCCGCAGAGAAGAGCUUGAAUCACAAGAGAACAGCCAGUGAAUUUCUACAAACUGAACACACUCACGUAACUGAUGUUCAAAUUGAGAAAAAGAAUACUACCAGCACCCAGAAGUCCCUUGUGCCCCUCAAACAUUUGCUGCCCAAGACGGCAUAUGUCUGCUUUUGAAGAUCAUGCAUAUGCAACCUCAUAGGUCUGGCUUGUUUUACUCAAUGUACUGUUUUUGAGAUUAUCCAUAUUGUGUGUAGAAGUGGUUGAUUUUUUUUUUUAUUGUGUAGCAUUCUGUUGUAUGUGCUACAGUUUGGAUCAUAAAUGUCCCCCAAAGACCUGUGUGUUGAAGCUUUGGUCCCCAGCUUGGCACUGUUGG
rnacentral:lncRNA from 1 species